UGGCUCAGAGGUUAAAGCGUCUGCCUGGAAUGCAGGAGACCCAUGUUCGAUCCCUGG
rnacentral:tRNA from 1 species